UAAAGAAAACUCUAGGAUCAAAGCUUGAUACUUUGAUGAACAUGUUUGGGAAAGCUGAUCAGAUGAACACAGAUAGAGAAUCUAGUGUUCCAAUUAGAAAAUAUGGAGUUGAUGAUCAUUGUCGUGCUACUGAGCGUACUGGCAUAUUCAACCAAGAUGCAGGUGGUGUUGAACGUGAUUAUAUGGAUGUGCAUGCAGAGGGUCAGUAUGAAAGAGAAUUUAGAGAUGCACAUCUAGAUGAUGAAACUGAAAAUGUUACUGAUAUUGGGAAAGAAGUUUGUGGAGUGCCGGAGAAAAUUUGUAGAGUUUGUGGAUUGCAAUCACAGGAGGAUUUAACAAGUCCAUUGGGGACAAGUGUCAGCGAGAUUGUAUGCAAAUGCUUAGAAGGAACGUAUGAUCUCUCUACACCGCUGUCAUACAAAGAAAAAUUUGGAGUUCAAACUUGUGCCAGUCAAGGUUAGAUAAAAUUUUCAUUAUAUAUUGUAUCUUUAUUUCAUUAUAUAUUGUAUCUUUUGAAGCAGCAAGCGAAGAAGCUGGAGUGCAGUAUCAAGAGAAAACUGGACUACAAUCUCAAGACAUAGGCAGAAGUGAGAUUGGUUCCAAAUCUAUAGAUGCAACAUGUGAUGAUGAUGAUGUAGCUGGAAUGAUCUUGGAUAUUGCAAAUGAAUCUUGUCAACAAGCAUCUAAAGAUCAUGGUGAACAACUGCAAGAUAAAGAAAAUGUGGAAUUGCAAGAAAAAGAAAAUGCUGCACGCAAUAUUUUAGCUGAGUUGUCUCUUGAAAAAACACAAGAAGGUACUGCGGAGAAGACAGUGUCGCCAGCAGAGGAAAACAAAGAGGACACCAAUGAUGACAAUCUUAACCAAUAUACAAGGAAAAGAAAGAGAGACAGUAUUGGUUAUGAUGGUCCGUCAUUUUCUCUUCUUACU